rnacentral:rRNA from 1 species
AACGAACGCUGGCGGCAUGCCUAACACAUGCAAGUCGAACGAGACCUUCGGGUCUAGUGGCGCACGGGUGCGUAACGCGUGGGAACCUGCCCUUAGGUUCGGCAUAACUCCCCGAAAGGGGUGCUAAUACCGGAUAAUGUCUUCGGACCAAAGAUUUAUCGCCUUUGGAUGGGCCCGCGUUGGAUUAGCUAGUUGGUAGGGUAAAAGCCUACCAAGGCGACGAUCCAUGGCUGGUCUGAGAGGCUGAUCAGCCACACUGGGACUGAGACACGGCCCAGACUCCUACGGGAGGCAGCAGUGGGGAAUAUUGGACAAUGGGCGAAAGCCUGAUCCAGCAAUGACGCGUGAGUGAUGAAGGCCUUAGGGUUGUAAAGCGCUUUUACCCGGGAUGAUAAUGACAGUACCGGGAGAAUAAGCCCCGGCUAACUCCGUG